GCAGGAGCUCCAAAACCUACUAAAAGGGAUCGAUCUGCCCCUAAGACAGAAGCCAAAGCAAUGGAGACUUUUACAAAAGGUUUCCCUUAUCAAGGCUGCUGGAACUUGGAGCACACCUGAUAAGGACAGUACAUCAAAACAACAGAUGACGCAUCAGCUUGAAACAACUUCCGAUCCCCAGAAGACAACAUAAUGUCACUUCCUGUUCUGGCCCCAAAAACCCAAGACGUCAUUUCCAGUCCCAGGAUGCCACUCUACUAUUAUGUCACUUCCUUUUUCUGAUCAUAUAUGACAGCCAUUUUGUUUGUUUACUCAGUUUUGUUUUGGAUUCAUGUCUAUAAAGACCUAUUA